GUCUACAGCCAUCUGACUGAACACGCCUGAUCUCGUCUGAUCUCGGAAGCUAAGCAGGAUCAGGCCUAGUUAGUACAUGGACGGGAGACCACCGAGGAAGACCAGGUGCUAUAGGUG
rnacentral:rRNA from 1 species